AAUGUGAUGUACCUAGUAAUAUUAGUGAUUAAUAUGAGGCUAACCGAGUUAGUUAAAAUUCUAAGUAUAUAUGUGAUUAUGACAAUAUGUGCUUAUUUCUUGACCAAGUCACGUGCCAGCCGUCGCGGUAAUACGUGGAAGAUCAGUGUUAUUCAUCUUUAUCAGGUUUAAAGGGUACCUAGACGGUUAAUUAAGCUUUAGUAGGAACUAAUUAACUAGAGUUUAAUGUAAGAAUGAUUGAGUACGGUGAGUGUAGAGAUAAAAUUCUGUCAUACCACUUAGGAACUGGUAAAAGCGAAGGCAACUUUCUAUGUAAAAACUGACGUUAAGGGACGAAGGCUCGUAUCAAAUAACAGGAUUAGAUACCCCAGCAUUGUGGGCAGACAAUGAUGAGUGUCAUAUGCAAGAGAUAAAUAUAUAAAAAAAUAUUUUGUGUAUAAAUGAAAGUGUAAGCACUCCACCUCAAGAGUAACGUGGCAACAUGGGAACUGAAAUCAUUAGACCGUUUCUGAAACUCGUAGUGAAGUAUGUUGUUUAAUUAGAUGGUGCACAAAUAACCUUACCACAAUUUGUAUAACUAUAGUACAUAAUAAUAAUAUAGUUACAAGCGUUGCACGGCUGUCUUUAGUCUAUGUUGUGAAACUGUGGUUAGAUCCAUUAAAUAGACGUAAACCCUUACUUUAUUUAUUAUAAAGUAGUUCGCCGCUAUAUUGGUAGUGAUAUAAGGGACUAGGACAAGUCAUCAUGAC
rnacentral:rRNA from 1 species